UAACACCGGUUCUCGAACGAUCACCAAAGUUAAGCAACGCCGAGUCUAGUCAGUACCUAAAAUGGGUGACCGCUUGAGAAUAUCAGGUGCUGUA